GUUAGUGCAGUGAUGGGUUUACUCCUAUAAAAAUAGGAGUUGGCCUGUUACUGCACUAAAGUUGUGAUUGUAUAUAUAUUUUUAUAAAAAAACAGUAUUUAGUAAAAUAGGUAAAUUAAUAUAAAUAAAUAAAAUCGUAAUGUUUUGAUCUCUUCUUGAUAGAAAAUAAAAAUAAUUUAAUUGGUAAAAAUGAACGAUAUGCUGCUGCAAUAAUUAGAUUUUGAAAAUCUUGACUUUCACUAUUUAUAUUUAAAUAAUCAAAAUUAUACUCUGUUUAACAUGUACAAUAAAUUGAUACAAUUACAGUAAGAGUUUUUAUGAUGGUUAUCUUAUUGAAGAUUUAUUUAAAGUGACAUUAUGCUCAAUUUUUUCAUUGUCAAGGUGAACAAUAUAUUUCAAAAGAUCAACUGUUAUAAUGAUGAUUGGCCAACAGUAGAUAUAGGAAAAUGUUGAGGAUAAUAUAUAAAUCUGCCUAAAAUAUAAAAAGACUGCCCCACACUUUAAAAAUUGAACAUGAAUAGGUUAUUUCUAAUGGAUAAUUAAGGAAAUUUCCUUGGGCCAAGAAACAUGUUAUUUAUUGUUCAGACAAAGUACAUUGGAAGAUGUAAACAUACUUUGAACUCCCUAUAUAGCUUUGAAUGAAGAUAAAGCCACUUUAAGUAUAUAUAUAUUUUUUGUAAUAUUGUCAGCAUUUUAUGAAAGUUUUGUGAUAAGGAACAAAGUGCAACUUAUCAUUAGAGUGAUAAUUGUUAAAACUAGUAUUGUUAACUUGAACUGUGAUAAUAUAUAUUUGUUUGAAUGUUAAUAGUGAUGUAAUAUUAUUAAUAAGUAUAUUUGAUGACUUGAUUUUAUCUGCUUUCCUGAAAAUAUAUGUUUUAAUGUAAUGGUAUAUAGAUGUUUUAUUAUUAAUAAGUAUAUUUUGUUGAUUUGAUUUUAUCUGCUUUCCUGAAAAAAUAUGUUUUAAUGUAAUGUUUUAUGAUUUUUAUGCUUGAAGUAUAUUUUUAAAAAGUUGCAUUUACAAUGUAUUUCUAUACAUAAAUUGGCUUUUAUUGUUUAUUAAGUACAUCAGGACCUUACUGUUUAGUCUUUGUGACUCUUCAAGUGAAAUUUGCUCAUAUUAAACCAACUGGUCACUUAAAAUGGUCCAAAGAGCUAAAAAGAUGAUGCUUGAGGAUAAUGUAACUUGAUAGAUGGAAAACUUGUAAAGUAAGCAAUGACACCUUGACAUUCAUUAUACAUUUGUAUUGUCAAACUAAUUUGAGAAUAAAUAAAUUAUAAAAGAUAAAAAUAAGAAUUUAACAUCAAAGUUAAAUGUAAAAAUAAUUUGACAGAUGGUUAUCCUUAUCAAAGGUAGUUUGCCAUGGAAUAUUUGACAGAGUGUUUUUCCUUGUCUAGUUGGGUUUUGUUCCACUUAUAAAGUGAAGAAAGGUGAUUUUAUGUUGACAGCCUGUUUGUUUUAGGAUAGCAAGUGUUAUAGGAAUAACCAGCUUGUGGCAAGUUAUGUGAAAGAUAACCAAUGUGAAGAUAGCUUGAUAUGUGAGAAUAACUGGCCAUGUGAUACUAGCUUGCCAUGUGAUACUAGCUUUGCCACAUGAUACCAGCUUGCCAUGUGGUGCUAGGUUGUCAUGUAAUAUUAGCAUGUCAUGUGAUACUAGCUUGCCAUGUGAUACAAGCUUGCCAUGUGGUGCUAGGUUGCCAAGUGAUACUAGCUUGCCAUAUGAUACUAGCUUGCCAUGUGAUACCAGCUUGCCAUGUGAUACCAGCUUGCCAUGUGAUGCUAGGUUGUCAUGUAAGAAUAGCUGGUUAUGUGAUACUAGCUUGCUAUUUAAGGAUAUUUGUACAUCUGUGGCCAAGUGGUUAAGGUUGUUGAACCAAACCACUUUCAAUUCACUGCUCAGGUUUCAAAUUCUGUUGGUACUUUUGAUUUUUUAAUGUGAGGAAGCUUUCGAACUAGCUUACAUGUUGGAUAUAAUACAUAGAGGGGCACCUGAGGUCUUCCUAUACCAGUAAAGCUGGAGAGUUGCUAUAUGACCUUUAAAUGUGUGAUUGUGUCUCCCCAACCCCUACCCCUAAAUCUAUGUGGAAAUAUAUUGUUAUGUGAGUAUAGAAAUUAGGUGAUAUAAGCUUGCUUUGUGAUACUAGCUUGUGUUAUGAAAUACGUAAUCUGGUUAUGUGAAGCUAGAAUGUCAUGUGUUACAAGCUUGCUUUGUGAUGAAAUACAUAUAUUGUACUACAGUAAACUCCGCAUAUAAUAAACUCAUUGGAACAUUCAAAAUCUGUUCCUUUUAUCCCCGAGUUCCUUGUAAGCAUAUAGCGAAUUAGUUCCUUGUAUCAGGAGUUUUUAUAGCAAACAGAUUUACAUAUAAUGGACUGAUUGUUUACCAACGUCAGCCAUUUUGAAGAGCAUUUGAUUAAGAACAAUUAGUCAUUUAUUUCUUUUUUAGAGAGCGUACUUUUUGGAAUUUGAAAAUCCUUUGCUAUUUCAGUUUUAGUUUUACUCCUUUUCUCAAUUUCUCAUAAAAUAUCUUAUUUUGUUUCUAAACUCAGUGCUUUUCCUUUUCUUUCCAUGAUUAAGAAUAAACAAGAUUUUCGAUUUUUUCUACCUUUUAUCUUGAAUAUCUUCUAUUAUAUGUUAAGGGUGACUUUUACUAAUGAAAGAUAUAGAUUUCUUUUCAUUUCAAUCAAUUGUACUUUGUAGUUUUCAAUGGAUUAUGUUUGCAAGCAUGCAUGAUUAUGUUGAAAACCUAUUAUAAAUGAUCAUAAUUAUUUUACUCGAGCAAAACUAUUAAAGAAAAGAAAUAAUAGAAUUAAAGGAAUAACCGUUUUAUCUUGGUGACAAGAACUCAUGCUGAAAAUAUUCUAAAUAGAAAACUAUUACAAACUGCUAUACAAAUUCAUUUUCAUAGAUGUAUUGAAGUACAAUAUUUGGUAAAUUCUGCUGAGUUUAAAUCCUUGCCAAUGAAAACAAAAGUUGAAAAUGCGGGAUAUGUUUACGGAUAGCCGAUAUUUUGGAGUUUGUUAUAAAAGUGUAAUUUUCUGCACUUUUAACUAAAUUGGGACUAAGAAAUGAGUUCCUUAUAAGCGAUAAUUCCUUAUAACUGU